rnacentral:rRNA from 1 species
GAUGAACGCUGGCGGCGUGCCUAAUACAUGCAAGUCGAACGCUGGAGAUCUAGCUUGCUAGAUCGAAGGAGUGGCGAACGGGUGAGUAAUACAUAAGCAACCUACCCACGAAGACUGGGAUAAUCUCUGGAAACGCGGACUAAUACCGGAUAGGUAAUCGGAAGGCCUCUUCUGGUUAUUAAAGGUUAAAAACACUGGUGGAUGGACUUGUGGCGCAUUAGUUUGUUGGUGAUGUAACGGCCCACCCAGACGAUGAUGCGUAGCCGUCCUGAGCGGGGGAAAGGCCACAAUGGGGCCGAGGCCCAGCCCAGAACUCGACGGGGGGGUAGAGUAGGGUACUUUCGGGCAUGGGGGCAACCCUGACCGAGCAACGCCGCGUGAGUGAAGACGGCCUUCGGGUUGUAAAGCUCUGUUGUAAGGGAAGAACGGUAGAUAGAGAAUAUCUAAGUGACGGUACCUUACCAGAAAGCCACGGCUAACUACGUG